rnacentral:lncRNA from 1 species
UAACCUGGCAUUUUCCAAUACAUGUACAGUAUAUUCUUACCACAGAUUUGGUUUUCUGUGUCUUUCAGUGUCUGGCUUAUUGACCCAAAGUUCUUCAUCGGUGUCUUGCAAACCACUGAGAACACAGAUAUUUUCUCCAUCUGUUUCUUGCAAUUUCCCAGUUGAGAGCUCAAAAUACUUCACUGUUCCUUCCAGAUGACCCUCUAUUGCUGUUCCCACUGGGCAUCAUAAACUCCAUGACUACUUCCAAAAAAUGUUAAGGACUAUUUCAAAGAGCCCAGAAGCACAAAUUGGUAUCACUUCCUACCCCGCAGAGCUGACCAGGCUUAGAGGAGCAGUGGAGAUCAUGGCUGCAAAACACUUAGCACUGGAAAAACAGUGUGACCAUUCCACACUUCUCAAAGAGGAUAUGACAGAGUUGACAACAGCCUCAUCUACACUAAUAAGCAUUACUAGAACAAUGGGAUACCUAACUCGGAGAGAGAAUCAAAAGAUAGGAAAUAAACUCUUUGAAUUUAGUAGGGAAAGUUGGGCAUCAGCAAAAGAAACAUUCAGACAUAUGCAUAGCAGGGAUUCACAGAGGAUCGCUAUGUACUAUUCUCUCAGAGAAGUUUGCACAGUGAUCAUUGGCCUGAGGUGAGUAUGUUGAAAAGUGUCCUGGUAUUUGAUCAUGUCUCUGUUUUGUCAUUUUGUG